GAUGAACGCUGGCGGCGUGCCUAAUACAUGCAAGUCGAGCGAACAGACGAGGAGCUGGCUCUCCUGACUUUACCGCGGGCCGGGUGGUAAAACCGUGGUUAACUUCCUUUUAGGAUGGGGAAAACUCCGGAAAACCGGAGCUAAAACCGGAUAUUAUAUUAAACGGCUGGGUCAAAUAGGGAAGGACGGUUUUGCGGUCACUAUUGGAGGGAUCCGCGCCCCAUUAGCUAGUUGGUAAGGUAACGGCUUACCAAGGCAACGAUGCGUAGCCGACCUGAGAGGGUGAUCGGCCACACUGGAACUGAGACACGGUCCAGACUCCUACGGGAGGCAGCAGUAGGGAAUCUUCCGCAAUGGGCGAAAGCCUGACGGAGCAACGCCGCGUGAGUGAUGAAGGUCUUCGGAUCGUAAAACUCUGUUAUUAGGGAAGAACAAAUGUGUAAGUAACUAUGCACGUCUUGACGGUACCUAAUCAGAAAGCCACGGCUAACUACGUG
rnacentral:rRNA from 1 species